CUACGGGAUGCAGCAGUGAGGAAUAUUGCACAAUGGGGGGAACCCUGAUGCAGCAACGCCGCGUGGAGGAUGACGCAUUUCGGUGUGUAAACUCCUUUUAUAUGUCAAGAAAAUGACGGUAGCAUAUGAAUAAGCACCGGCUAACUCCGUGCCAGCAGCCGCGGUAAUACGGAGGGUGCAAGGUUAAUCGGAAUCACUGGGCGUAAAGGACGCGUAGGCGGGUUGGAAAGUCAGGUGUGAAAUCCUACAGCUUAACUGUAGAACUGCACUUGAAACUUCUAAUCUAGAGUAUGGGAGGGGGAGAUGGAAUUAGUGGUGUAGGGGUAAAGUCCGUAGAUAUCACUAGGAAUACCUAAAGCGAAGGCGAUCUCCUGGAACAUUACUGACGCUAAAGCGUGAAAGCGAGGGGAGCAAACAGGAUUAGAUACCCGGGUAGUC
rnacentral:rRNA from 1 species